GACGAACGCUGGCGGCGUGCUUAACACAUGCAAGUCGAACGGAAAGGCCCUGCUUUUGUGGGGUGCUCGAGUGGCGAACGGGUGAGUAACACGUGAGUAACCUGCCCUUGACUUUGGGAUAACUUCAGGAAACUGGGGCUAAUACCGGAUAGGAGCUCCUGCUGCAUGGUGGGGGUUGGAAAGUUUCGGCGGUUGGGGAUGGGCUCGCGGCUUAUCAGCUUGUUGGUGGGGUAGUGGCUUACCAAGGCUUUGACGGGUAGCCGGCCUGAGAGGGUGACCGGGCACAUUGGGACUGAGAUACGGACCAGACUGCUACGGGAGGCAGCAGUGGGGAAUAGUGCACAAUGGGCGGAAGCCUGAUGCAGAAACGCCGCGUGCGGGAUGACGGCCUUCGGGUUGUAAACCGCUUUAGCCUGUGACGAAGCGUGAGUGACGGUAAUGGGUAAAGAAGCACCGGCUAACUACGUG
rnacentral:rRNA from 1 species